UGUCUCAAGACUAAGCCAUGCAUGUGCAAGUAUAAACGCUUGAACCGUGAGACUGCGAAUGGCUCAUUAAAUCAGUUAUAGUUUAUUUGAUGGUGUUUACUACGUGGAUAACCGUGGUAAUUCUAGAGCUAAUACAUGCGAAAGGUCCCGACUCUCGUGGAAGGGAUGUAUUUAUUAGAUUCAAAACCAAUGCAGGGUUGUCGCUUCGGUGGCGCCCUGGUACCUUGGUGAUUCAUAGUAACUGCUCGAAUCGCUUGGCCUCCGCGCCGGUGAUGGUUCAUUCAAGUUUCUGCCCUAUCAACUUUCGAUGGUAGGGUAUUGGCCUACCAUGGUUGCAACGGGUGACGGAGAAUUAGGGUUCGAUUCCGGAGAGGGAGCCUGAGAAACGGCUACCACAUCCAAGGAAGGCAGCAGGCGCGCAAAUUACCCAAUCCCGACUCGGGGAGGUAGUGACAAUAAAUAACAAUGCCGGUCCCUACAGUGGUCCGGCAAUUGGAAUGAGUACAAUUCAAACCCCUUAACGAGGAACAAUUGGAGGGCAAGUCUGGUGCCAGCAGCCGCGGUAAUUCCAGCUCCAAUAGCGUAUAUUAAAGUUGUUGCAGUUAAAAAGCUCGUAGUUGGAUUUCGGGGCCCCGGGCGGUUGUGACGUUGUCUGUUGGCUUGUCCUUCAGGCUCGUUAUGGCCGUCGGUCUCUGAGUCGGAUCGGUCCGCCGAGAGGCGUGCACUGACCGACGGCCCCUGUUGUCUCUCGGGUUGCCCGCCUGCUCUUAGCUGCAGUGGACGGGGAGUUCGGGACGUUUACUUUGAACAAAUUAGAGUGUUCCAAGCAGGCCGUUUGCUUUGAAUACAUUAGCAUGGAAUAAUGGAAUAGGGCUGCGUGGCCCGUCGCUCUCGGGUGGCGGGUCCUUGCGUCCUAUUUUGUUGGUUUUCGGGACCGCAGUCAUGGUCAAGAGGGACAGUUGGGGGCAUUCGUAUUCAGUUGUCAGAGGUGAAAUUCUUGGAUUUACGGAAGA
rnacentral:rRNA from 1 species